rnacentral:tRNA from 1 species
AGUUAAUCAGCAAAUUAGCAUUUAUAUCUUGAAAAUAUAAAAAAAACCAAAAAGGUUUAUUAACUU